GAUGAACGCUGGCGGCGUGCCUAAUACAUGCAAGUCGAGCGAACAGACGAGGAGCUUGCUCCUCUGACGUUAGCGGCGGACGGGUGAGUAACACGUGGAUAACCUACCUAUAAGACUGGGAUAACUUCGGGAAACCGGAGCUAGUACCGGAUAAUAUAUUGAACCGCAUGGUUCAAUAGUGAAAGACGGUUUUGCUGUCACUUAUAGAUGGAUCCGCGCCGCAUUAGCUAGUUGGUAAGGUAAGGGCUUACCAAGGCAACGAUGCGUAGCCGACCUGAGAGGGUGAUCGGCCACACUGGAACUGAGACACGGUCCAGACUCCUACGGGAGGCAGCAGUAGGGAAUCUUCCGCAAUGGGCGAAAGCCUGACGGAGCAACGCCGCGUGAGUGAUGAAGGUCUUCGGAUCGUAAAACUCUGUUAUUAGGGAAGAACAAAUGUGUAAGUAACUAUGCACGUCUUGACGGUACCUAAUCAGAAAGCCACGGCUAACUACGUG
rnacentral:rRNA from 1 species